GUUAAUAUAAUUUAAUGUUUUAAAAUAUUAAUUUUCCAAAUUAAAAAUAUGAGUUAGAAUCUCUUUAUUAACA
rnacentral:tRNA from 1 species